UAUGUGAUCGUCUCUCGCAUAUCAAUAAGCGGAGGAAAAGAAACUAACAAGGAUUCCCCUAGUAACGGCGAGUGAAGCGGGAAGAGCUCAAAUUUGAAAUCUUAAAGGGUUUCCCUUUACGAAUUGUAGUUUAAAGAAGUGUUUUCUGUUGAGGUUUUGGUAAAAGUUCUUUGGAAUAGGACAUCAUAGAGGGUGAGAAUCCCGUAUUUGACCUUUACUUUCAACUUUGUGAUACACUUUCAGAGAGUCGGAUUGUUUGGGAAUGCAGUCCAAAAUGGGUGGUAAAUUUCAUCUAAAGCUAAAUAUUGGCGAGAGACCGAUAGCGAACAAGUACCGUGAGGGAAAGAUGAAAAGAACUUUGAAAAGAGAGUUAAACAGUACGUGAAAUUGUCAAAAGGGAAGCGUUUGACACCAGUGUUGUUUUUCUGAAAAUCAAUUAAAGAACUGUUUAUGCUAAGUUGUUUAGGCUUUAUCAGCUAUCUGUUUAGUUUUGAGCUUUUCUUUAAUGCACUUUUCAGUUAACAAGUCAACAUCAAUUUCUUUUGCUGUAAAAAGCUUGAGGAAGGUGGCUUGAGAUUCGUCUUAAGUGUUUAUAGCCUCUUGCCUAUGCAGUCGGAGAGAUUGAGGUCUGCAGCGUAGAUCCUUCGGGGCUAAAUGCAUUUGUGCUAAGUUAUAGCAUUUUAUAGACAACUUGUUGACUAUGAUUUGUCUUGUAGCUUACUCGCUUAUGUUAUUUUACCUACGCUUAGGAUGUUGAUAUGCAUGACUGAUAU
rnacentral:rRNA from 1 species